UACCAGCACCCCGAGUGGUCGGGACGUUUAUUGGGCCUAAAGCAUCCGUAGCCGGUUCUACAAGUCUUCCGUUAAAUCCAGCUGCUUAACAGAUGGGCUGCGGAAGAUACUAUGGAGCUAGGAGGCGGGAGAGGCAAGCGGUACUCGAUGGGUAGGGGUAAAAUCCGUUGAUCCAUUGAAGACCACCAGUGGCGAAGGCGGCUUGCCAGAACGCGCUCGACGGUGAGGGAUGAAAGCUAGGGGAGCAAACGGG
rnacentral:rRNA from 1 species